UACGUAGGUGGCGAGCGUUACUCGGAAUCACUAGGCGUAAAGCGCAGGUAGGAGGUUUGGUAAGUCUGUUGUGAAAGCUCCCGGCUUAACUGGGAGAGGUCAACGGAAACUGCUGAGCUAGAGUGCGGUAGAGGUAGCUGGAAUUCCCGGUGUAGCGGUGAAAUGCGUAGAUAUCGGGAGGAAUACCUAUGGCGAAAGCAGGCUACUGGACCGUCACUGACUCUGAUCUGCGAAAGCUAGGGGAGCAAACAGG
rnacentral:rRNA from 1 species